rnacentral:rRNA from 1 species
AUCUCGUCACCGCAUCAUUAAUUUUUGUGUAUCGGUGGAAUGUGACCUCCUGCUCCUAGUUGUGCAGUUGGUUAAAACUUGAGUAUGUGGAUUAUGACUUCAUGACAAGUGGUGGUUGGAUAACAACUCUCGUCAUGUCGUGUGCCAAGCCCACGUUACUUUCAAGACCCUAUGGUGCAAGUUACCCUCAUUUUUUUUGUUGGAAACAUGUUCUAUG